rnacentral:lncRNA from 1 species
GGAGUCCUGGGGAUCAGGCGCGGAGCCCCCCUUUGCAGCCUCAGGGUCACCCGGAUUCCCCUUCCUGUGUCAGGAGACCGAACCUGCUCCCAGCAGAGCUGGAGUUGCCUGGGAGCCCGGGAGCUGGGAGCAGAGCCAG